AACAACAUUCUACGUAAUAUAAAAUAAAAUUCCGAGCUGGCGAAAAUAGGGAAAACGAUAAAUUUAAAAAAAUUAAAUCCGAAAACAUUUGUAAACUGGAUGUUCAACAACCAACGGAGUUUGUAAUGUUUUUUUUUUUUUUUUUUUCGUUUUUCGGUCGGUUUUAAAUCGCACGGUGCCGGGCGGUUCCGCGAGUUUAAAAGGAGCGAGAAGUUAAAAGGCCAAUUCGGACAAGACCUCGGUACACCACGGAUUUAUAUCGCUCACCUACUACAACUAUUUGUAUAGACUUUUUCUUCCUUUUCGGUUUCUGUCUAUCGUAUACACAUGCGGUAACACAUAUAUUCUCGUGUGGUAAAUUUAGAGGUACCAACAUAUUCGUUAUAGUGCGUGGGCGGAGCCGAUCAUCUUUGAAACAACGGUGCCGCUGUAUAACUCAUCAGGCAUAAGUCACACGGCCAUUAAAAAUAGGAACGUACCCAUGUACACUUAG